AUGCUGUAAGACACCAUUUUAGUUAACUCAGAAUUGUUGUUAAUUAAUGACUGUUGUUCAAAUAUAUAUAUAUGCUGUGUAUAUGAAUAAACACACACAAUGCUUUUGAUUUUCUAGAGUUACAUUUUUGAACAUCUUGGUUUGCAAAGACAUCUUGUAAAAUGUUUGGAACAGUUGAGUAUUUCAAUUUCUUUAAAAUGUAAUUUUUAUUCUAAACUUCUUAUUUCUUUUUUAGGAUGGGGAACCUGAUAGCGAUGAUGAGAGUUUACCAGACCUGGAGUGAUUGAACCAUCCAGUACCACUAAAACAAAAUUUAUAAUUACCUAGGCUCAGUAUGAGCAUUUCCUGGGUCAUAAUUUCUGUGGUUGCUAAAAAUCCCCAAGUUUUAAAACUGUUCCAGGGCUUCAGUGUUAAUAACACAAUUCCUCCAUUCUUUGAUAGUUAUAUCAAUUAAAGUUACGUUUUGUCAUCACAUGUCAGAGAGUAAAGUAGAAUAGUACAAUUGUUGAAAUUUAAAAAUUUAUAUGCAAAAACAAUGCCUAUUUAGACAGUUAUCAGGGAUGCUCAAAUGUAUGCCUGUUUUUUUUUUCUCAAAUGUUGGUAAUAAUAUUAAAUCUCAAAGUAGUAGAUUUUCCAUGAUAUAUAUGUGCGUUUGUUGUCUUCAAAAUUCUCAAUUAUUUUCUGAGAAGCUUAUGAAACUUGUGUGAAUUAUAUUUUAGCACUUACAAAAAAGAAAGAGAAGAUUUCAAAAAUAUUACUCAAAAACUCUUAAGUCUGUUUUGAUUAAUUAUUUUUAUUUAAUAAUUAUACUUGACACUUUGGUCCUGGAACUUAUUUGGAAGAGAAGAAGAAAAAAAGUGUUGUUUUUUUAUACAUACCUCCC